rnacentral:lncRNA from 1 species
AUGAGUUUGAGUAAACUCCAGGAGUUGGUGAUAGACAGGGAGGCCUGGCACGCCGCGAUUCAUGGGUUCGCUAAGAGUCGGACACAACUGAGCGACUGAACUGAACUGAAGUAGCUAUUAAAUAUUCUAAUAGCAUUUGUUUUGAUUAAUUGUGAUUAGUUGUCAUGGUACAAGUCCAGACAAAAUAUUCUGUAAUAUUUAGAAUCUAUGGUCACAAGAACAUUUUAAAAUAAAUUCAUUUUUAUAUACAUAGCUUUGUUGGAGAGAAGUAUGAUUGGGUGAAUAAAAGAUAUUCAAUCAUAAAAAUGUAUCAGGAUAAAAUUCUGUUGGGGAAGUAGAAGGAAACAAAUUCAAGGAGAAAAAAAAGAGAUGAAAUUUUUCCAACUGUUAAGGGAGAACUUCAUGUAUUUUUAAAAAGGAUUAUGCUGAGUAUCCAAUCACUAUACUAUUUCAUUUAGAAACAUUUUUCAGAGUACUGUAACAGUUUUAUCUUUAAAUGUCAAUAUUUGCAUACACCAGAAAGUAUACCCUAUGUAACUAUUUAAACUAUGGAAAAUUUUUGAACAUUUGCUCCUAAAAAUGUGCAAAGGGGUACACAGAUUUUCCAGGAAAAAAAAUGGAGUCCACAAGAAAAACGUUUAGAGCAUGAGGGUCACAGAGCCUAGCUCUUGCUGCAAGAGGAUGGCCUUCAGUGAAUGCAAAAUCAGAUCCUCUAAGGAUUUCUAAGGCUCCAGGGACCUGGGGGCACCCUUAAAGUGCUGGGCUGAGGGUGGGGCCUUCUCACUGGUGCAAAACUGGGCCGAGGCGCUCCCCCUUCAUCCUAUCAACACUUUCCUCCGUCUUCUUUAUUCUCUCGCUUGUUUUAUUUUCAGCUUUUCUCCCAAAUCCCAUUCUCUCCACUACAGACGGCCUGUCCGGUCGGUGUGAGAUCUCUUCGACUUGUUUGUAUCCCGCCUCACCGUUCCUUUCUUCCAGAAGCUUUCAGUGGGGCAGUGCCCCCACCUGCUCUCCCGAGACUCGCUGACCGCGGUCUAACACCUCUUGUACACGUGCGGCACCCACUGCUUCCUCCAGUUUUCUCUUGCUCUGGGCGAGUCCUCACUCCCCAGCUAAGCCAUUCGUUUUCUCAUCUCUGUCUCCACGACUCUCUUCUUAGCAGUAAGAGGCCGAUAUAAAGAAUUCAGCGAGAUGAAAUUCGCACUGGCACGGAGCCUGGCCUGCAGCCAGAACUGGGUACCCAGCUGCGCUCAGCAAAUACUUGCUAAUCGCGCAGUAGAAUUUUCCCUCUGGCCAGUGAUUACAGAAAUCCGGGCUUCCUAGAGUCCUCCUCGUCCGCCCAGGGAACCAAAGAGAGUUUCCAAACCCCAGGUCUCCUUUCGACAGCUUGCAAAGUAAGAGUGAUGGAAAGGCUCUCCCCCUCCCGCCACCGCUGCCGCCGCCAAGUUCGCUCUGGGUGCCGGAGGCCGAACCAUGUACGUGAAGAGUG